UCGAACGAUGAAGCCCAGCUUGCUGGGUGGAUUAGUGGCGAACGGGUGAGUAACACGUGAGCAACCUGCCCCUGACUCUGGGAUAAGCGCUGGAAACGGCGUCUAAUACUGGAUAUGUCCCGUCACCGCAUGGUGUGCGGGUGGAAAGAUUUUUCGGUUGGGGAUGGGCUCGCGGCCUAUCAGCUUGUUGGUGAGGUAAUGGCUCACCAAGGCGUCGACGGGUAGCCGGCCUGAGAGGGUGACCGGCCACACUGGGACUGAGACACGGCCCAGACUCCUACGGGAGGCAGCAGUGGGGAAUAUUGCACAAUGGGCGGAAGCCUGAUGCAGCAACGCCGCGUGAGGGAUGACGGCCUUCGGGUUGUAAACCUCUUUUAGCAGGGAAGAAGCGAGAGUGACGGUACCUGCAGAAAAAGCACCGGCUAACUACGUGCCAGCAGCCGCGGUAAUACGUAGGGUGCAAGCGUUAUCCGGAAUUAUUGGGCGUAAAGAGCUCGUAGGCGGUCUGUCGCGUCUGCUGUGAAAUCCCGAGGCUCAACCUCGGGCUUGCAGUGGGUACGGGCAGACUAGAGUGCGGUAGGGGAGAUUGGAAUUCCUGGUGUAGCGGUGGAAUGCGCAGAUAUCAGGAGGAACACCGAUGGCGAAGGCAGAUCUCUGGGCCGUAACUGACGCUGAGGAGCGAAAGGGUGGGGAGCAAACAGGCUUAGAUACCCUGGUAGUCCACCCCGUAAACGUUGGGAACUAGUUGUGGGGUCCUUUCCACGGAUUCCGUGACGCAGCUACGCAUUAAGUUCCCCGCCUGGGG
rnacentral:rRNA from 1 species